rnacentral:rRNA from 1 species
UACGUAGGUGGCAAGCGUUGUCCGGAUUUACUGGGCGUAAAGAGCGCGCAGGCGGUCGUUCAAGUCGCGUGUGAAAGCCCCCGGCUCAACUGGGGAGGGUCACGCGAUACUGAUCGACUCGAAGGCAGGAGAGGGUAGUGGAAUUCCCGGUGUAGUGGUGAAAUGCGUAGAUAUCGGGAGGAACACCAGUGGCGAAGGCGGCCACCUGGGCCGACCCUGACGCUGAGGCGCGAAGGCGUGGGGAGCGAACGGG